CCUACGGGAGGCAGCAGUAGGGAAUUUUCCGCAAUGGGCGAAAGCCUGACGGAGCAAUACCGCGUGAGGGAUGACGGCCUGUGGGUUGUAAACCUCUUUUCUCAAGGAAGAAGUUCUGACGGUACUUGAGGAAUAAGCAUCGGCUAACUCUGUGCCAGCAGCCGCGGUAAUACAGAGGAUGCAAGCGUUAUCCGGAAUCACUGGGCAUAAAGCGUCUGUAGGUUGUUUAGUAAGUCUGCUGUUAAAGACUGGGGCUUAACCCCAGAAAAGCAGUGGAAACUGCUAGACUCGAGUGUGGUAGAGGUAGAGGGAAUUCCUAGUGUAGCGGUGAAAUGCGUAGAUAUUAGGAAGAACACCAAUGGCGAAGGCACUCUACUGGGCCAUAACUGACACUGAGAGACGACAGCUAGGGGAGCAAACGGGAUUAGAUACCCCGGUAGUCCUAGCCGUAAACGAUGGAUACUAGAUGUUGCACGUAUUAACCCGUGCAGUAUCGUAGCUAAGGCGUUAAGUAUCCCGCCUGGGAAGUACGCUCGCAAGAGUGAAACUUAAAUGAAUUGACGGCUGAGAGNGCGAGCGACACGAGGAGAG
rnacentral:rRNA from 1 species